rnacentral:lncRNA from 1 species
CAGUGGCAAGAAACCUCGGUUGGAAAAGACCUUCACCCUUCACUCUGGGACCUAAGCCCAAGCACCCUGGAGCUGGUACACUCCAUACCCUAACCAGCAGACAGGACAGUAGGUGAGCAGAGCCUUCCUCUCCCACUGCUAGUGUUCCCCAGUGGUGCGUCCUUCAGCAGCAGUGCCCAUGUAUGCACAUGGCACACAGGUGAUCAUGCCUUCCAUGCAGGCUCCCAGACCUGAUCUGCACCCAUUGUGCCUAAUGGCCACUAUGUUUUUAUGGUUUGCCUUCCCUAUCAGACUAUGAGCUGCAUGAGAACAAGAAAUCCGUCUUACUCAUUUUUGAAUUCUAGUUCCUCACAAGGUAAGUCCUAUGCUAUGGUUUGAAAUGUGCCUCCCAAAGUUCAUGCGUUGGAAAUUUAAUUCCCAAAUUCCUGCAUUGACCAUAUUAGGAGGUAAUUAGGGUUAGAUGAGGUUAUGAGAGUGGGGUCCACAUGACAGGACUAGUGGUUUUAUAAGAAGAGGAAGAGACCUGAGCUUGCAUGAUCCCUCACUCUUGCCAUGUGAUACCUUCAGCCACACUGUGACACAGAAGACCCUCACCAGCUGUGGCCCUUCAACCUUGGACUUCCCAACCACCAGGAUGUGAGAAAUGAAUUUGAUUUCUUCUUCAACUGCCCAGCCCAUUAUAUCACAGCAUCAUAAAACUGACAAGACUCCAUAAAUGUAUUGUCAAAUCAAAUGGAACUUGUGACCACUGUGUUAGCCAACAAUAUUCUAAAGUCUUCAUUGCAUUUCCAAACAUGGACAAAACAGAAAGAGCAGGGAUGUCCGAAUGUUCCAAGUCUGGACAGAGCCCACAGCCCUGCUGCAGUUCCCUACUCAUGGCAGGAGUCAGCAUGCACAGUGUUUGGAGGAGAAAAGACUGGUGGCCUUCAAUCCCAUGAGUAA